UACAGUUAACAUCUCCGGGGUCCGGACGGACCCCGGCAGAAGUGUUCAGUAAUUCCGGACCGUAUUUAUGUAUCGCGAAAUUCAUAACCAAUUGGAAGUAUUAUUUCAACAAUUAACAGUUGAGUGGAGUUUCAACAAGUUGUGAAGGUGUACAAGCAGUUCACGAAUUCAAAAUGAUUUUAGAAGCGUUGAAAAAGUUUUCGAGCAAUUUCCUUUGUGGUUCCCGAUGUAGCCGGUUAACGGAUUCAAACAUACAUCUGAAAGGAUCACCGCCUUUACGAUUAUCGACCAAACCUGGAUGCAUUCAGAUAUCAAAAGCGCUGGAAAACUUUCCAAUCAACUAAAGGAGUUUCCCAUUUGGUUCCCGAUGUUGCUGGUUCUCAAAGGAUUACCGCACACGAGUAAAACCCUUACCAUCGAAACAAGAAACAAAUAUUCAAGCACUGCCCCUUUUGACCAACUCUUGAAGGAUGCAUUCAGGUGAAGUAAAGUGUAUUUUUUUUAAAUAUCUUCUUAGUUUUUAGACAUGUAGGAUAGGUUAGCAGGUUACUGUAGAUAGGUUCCUUAGGUUAGCGUGUUUGACAAUAGAUAUAACGUUCUUAGUUUAAACUGGGUUAGUUCAUACCUACAAAUUUCUGUAAAAGUUGUAUUAUAACUUACGCGGAAUAGUUCGGAGGAGCGUCUCGGUUCAAAAGAUAAAUUUGACAUGCCUUAAUGUUCGGUGCACAUUGUUGUGUUUGCAAGUUACUUUUCCUGUUAUCGUUCUUCUUGUUAGUUCUUGACUUCUUAUUGCAUUGAUGUUACCAUUGUUAUUUUACGUUGCAUUUUAGUGUUUUUAUCAAUGAGACAUAAUUCUUAUACAUUGUUUUUGAUACGUUAUAAAACUCAUUAAGUUUGGUACAUUUCUGUUAAUAAUCAACAGCGUUUAAUUGUUGUUUAGGAAAUGAUCAUUAAUCACUUUAUGAUAAAUUCUUUGACAUCAUUUUUAAAAUGUUUUAAAACUCAUUAAGUUUGAUGUUAUUCAAGCGUCAUCAGCGUUUAAUUUACUGUUUAAAAUUGUUCAAUAAUUACGUAAUGAGUUAAUUCUUUGACAUUGUUUUUGUUAAAUUUGAAAUUUAUUAUUUAAGUUUGACACAAUUCAGUUAGUAUGAUCAGCAUUCAAUUUACUGUUUAGGAAAUCACAACGUUAACGUGUUUUACUUCCACAAUCUCAUUUUCUUAAGUUGUUAAUACUCGUUACUUGUUACUGUUCUCUGUUAUCUGUUAUUUGUUCUGAUUAUUGUUUACCUGUGAAACUAAGUUUUUUAAUCAGUUAAAUGCGUUGAGUUACCGUUAGUAAAACUUGCGACGCUCAUCAAAUGCACUGGGCAAGUUAACCUUGAUAUUUUUACAUUACCAACUCCAAAGUUAUUUUUAAAUUAAGAACCUUAGGUAACUUGUUAAUCGUUAUUGUUCAUGUUUUCUUAAUUUGUUGAUUUUUUGUUUAUUUUUUCAUUUGAUCGUAAGCCAGCUGGUCUGACUACAUUUUGUUUCGUUUUGACUACCACUGUUCUUGUGUUGUUCAUACCCGUUAUUUGUUAUAACUGUUAUUUAUUAUGUAAUGGGUUGAAGUUCUUGUUCAAAAUAGUUGAUUUUUUGUUUUGUUCUUUACAUCACAAAUUCAUGCACCAAAUUGCCUUCACCUUACUGUUACUCAAUCCUACAGUUCAGUUUUCUUAAAUCGUUUAAAAGUUGAAUUUUUGUUUCCUUGUUAACUAAUCACUAAAGUGUUAAGUUUUCGUUAAUACCCAAUUUGUUGAUUUCACCGUUGGUCUAAAGUUGAGUUUUUGUUUUGUUUUUCAAACUAAACUUUCAAACAAUACCUACUCGGAAAAAGCUGUAGAAAUCCUUCUGAAAAACAUAUCCCACUAUUUGAUGUUACAGCCCAAUAUCAUUUAAACCAUUAAUUGCUUUAGGUUCAAAACAGUUCUAGGCAUAUAACACAAUAGUAAUGUUUACAUAAUAUUGUAUUUGUUCGAAACAAUCACGACGUGCCUUAAAUCAAGUGCCUGAUGUUGUUUCACCUUGUUUGUACGAAUGUCUUAAUUUCUUCUGUCAAUGUUUUUCCUUAUACGAAAAACGUUGUCAGGACGAAUUCUUGUUGUUAUGUUGGUAUAAACUAUCUAUUUAGCUUUUGAUAAAGCUAAAUAGGUUAGAACAUGAGCAGCUAUAUAUUUGAUACGUGUUAAUAAUAUACAGUUUGCGGUGAUCUAUCAAAGGGUCUCAUUAAAAUACUAAAUAUUGUAUGAGAGACGCCAGAUGACAUUGUAGAUGCAUGUUUUUAGCAAGUAACAAAUAGUUGCUCUAAGAGUACUUUGUUUGAAAAACCUAGCGAUGUUUUUAUCCCCUACCACUGCUCUAAAAUUUUCAAUAGAUAAAUGAAUUUUGAACGUUUGUGUACCAGAAAAGCUAACCGUUUUUCCGGACGUAUCUCGAUCCGUAUCUAUAAUAUGUAAAUACGGGAGCAUCCACAUACAACCUUUGAUCCUGAAGCCGUCCUAGCCGAAGUGACAAUCGUUAACGCUACGUGGCGAUCGAAUAGAAUCUGGCUCUUUUGCGCUAUAGAAGAGUGAUAGAGAGAGCUAGCUACAAAGCGUAAGCGAUCGUGACGUCGGCUAGGCACCCAGUAACAUACAAAGGCAUUGUUCGCGGGGAUAAAAUAAUCGUUACGUAUUCAAAUUGUUACUAUUGUUUACGUUAAGCCGUUGUUAAUAUCGUUAAAGUUAACUAGUUUUAAGCGUUGAAUUGUUGUUAAGUUUGAUUGUGAUAUUAUUGUUAAAAUUUCAUGUGGCUGUGUAUGUUAAUUUUAUGUUAAGUUUUCGUUUUAACUGUUCAUUUGUUCGCCGCCGGCAUUAAGGCUGAAACUAGAAGCUGAAUAACCAAAACAUUGUUGUUUAACUUUAAUUUAAGUCUCUUAUAAGUGUUUUGUAUGGUAGUUAGGUUAAAACCGAAGCUUAGAAUAAAAUUAACAACUAGUUAAGUGAGUGUCAGAUAAUAUAAGGAUAAUUUAUUGGAGACGAAUGGGAGAACUUGUGUUUGUGAAUUGUGUGAAAUAAAAAGAAAACACUCGA